UACGGAGGAGGCAAGCGUUAUCCGGAAUUAUUGGGCGUAAAGCGUCCGUAGGUGGCUAAUCAAGUCUGCUGUCAAAGCGUGGAGCUUAACUCCAUACCGGCGGUGGAAACUGAUGAGCUAGAGUGCGGUAGGGGUAGCAGGAAUUCCCAGUGUAGCGGUGAAAUGCGUAGAGAUUGGGAAGAACACCAGCGGCGAAAGCGUGCUACUGGGUCUGCACUGACACUGAGGGACGAAAGCUAGGGGAGCGAAAGGG
rnacentral:rRNA from 1 species